GUGCCAGCAGCCGCGGUAAUACAGAGGGUGCAAGCGUUGUUCGGAAUUAUUGGGCGUAAAGGGAGUGUAGGCGGUUUGUUAAGUCUUCUGUGAAAUCUACGGGCUUAGCCUGUAACGUGCAGAGGAAACUGGCAGGCUUGAGUGUCGGAGAGGGUAGCGGAAUUCCCGGUGUAGAGGUGAAAUUCGUAGAGAUCGGGAGGAACACCAGUGGCGAAGGCGGCUACCUGGCUGACAACUGACGCUGAGACUCGAAAGCAUGGGGAGCAAACAGGAUUAGAUACCCUGGUAGUCC
rnacentral:rRNA from 1 species